ensembl:snRNA U6 U6 spliceosomal RNA
GUGCUCGGUUUGGCUGCACAUAUACUGAAAUUGGAACACUACAGAGAAGAUUAGCAUGGCCCCUGUGCAAGGAUGAUAGGCAAAUUUGUGAAGCAUUCCACAUAUGU